rnacentral:lncRNA from 1 species
UGUGUGGUCUGUUGUAGAAGCAGGCUUUGCUUUAACCAAAAAGAAAUAUGAAGAGGAAAGAUGACACUGUAAGAAAGCAAUCUCACCCUUUUCAUUUAAAGAUGCAAUAAUAAGGAAAGAAAUAUGAGCAAGAAAAAGAUGGAAGAAAACUCUAAUACAAGGCAUGUGUAACAAAUGGUAUAUGAUAAUGUAGUGUGUUAACAAAACACCCAAGUUGUGAAUAUAUUUUUUGUGUGGUGUUGGGGAUCAAACCCAUGGCUUCAUGCAGGCUUACUAAGUGCUCUAACAUUGAGAAAUACACUCCAUCUUCACACUUAGCUACUUAGAAAAACAAUGAAGCUAACCAAGGAGUAGAAAGAAAAUGAAGAAGAUCAUUAUCAGGGAAGGAACCGAAAAUGUAUACAAACCUAUGUGAUUUCCAUCUUUCUCAUCAAAGGAAAUUACACAAGGUAGAAUGAAUAUGGCCAGCAAGGAACUGAAGUCCACAAUGAAUGGGGAUAUGGAAGUGACUGGUUUCUUUAAAUUACCUUAUUUUCAGUUAAAUGCCUUCCUUAAUUACACAGACUUGAAAUUACUGAAUGUAAACUUUUAGGGAUAGGAAAAAACUGAAAAUAAUUAAUGGUAUUAACCUAACAAAAGUCUCACAUUUGGACAUGGAGCACAACUCCAUUUUGGGGUAGCUACUAAACCAAUAAGCUGUGAUUGACUAAGGAGAGACAUCUCAUUAUGUUACUCUGAUAAUUACAAAUCUUGGCAGUCAACUUAGCUGUAAACAACUUGUUUAAUUUCUCCUGUAAGCUAGUGUUAUAUAAAUAUACCAAAAGUAUAUCAUACAUAUAAUAGUUGCAUCUACUUCUUUAUUAAUUGACCAAAUUUCUGUUAAGCACAUACACAGUAAGAGAAACAGAAAGGAACAGGAAAAGAAGAAGCAGCAGAAAAGGAGGAAACGGGGGCACAAGUACAAAAAAGGACAGUUGUUUGCUCUCUCUAGUUUACUCAAAGGCUCAGAAUGAUACUAAGGUGAACUCUGAAAACUUUCCCUGAGUAAAGCAAACAUCCUACUGUCCUUUCUCAAAAAGCAGCAGGUGCAGUAGCCCAAAUGAUUAUUGUGUCAGGGAAAUGUUAGUGAUCUCCAAAAACACACACAGGAACCAAUUUGAUGCAACUCACAGCAGGGCCUUUAUUCUAUUCCAGCUAGCUCGCCCCUCCCCCCAAUGCACCACAGUCACACAGGACUGUUUUGGUGGGGGGGAGGGGGAAUCCCAAAUGUCUAUGGGGCAAGGCUUUAUAGUCAGCAGCAAGCAGGGAAUACAUGUGUAAACAUCCAAUUAGAAAGCUCCUGUGGCCUUUAACAUAAUUGGCUGGUGCUGGGAGUCAUAUCGUAAAUUUAACUUCUGCUCUCUUUUGUAUUGGUGGUUGUUAAGCAAGGGGUAGGCUUGCAACCUGGCAUGUAGAUUUGUUGUGGGAAUAACCAGGAGACACUGGUCUUGUUGGGGUGUAACCUGGAGACUAGAGAUAGGCUCAGGUUUUGUUGGGAAGCAACUUGGAAACUAAUGCUAGAAACCAGCCUGUUAGUUUACCUGAGUUCAUGCUUAGGUCUGGUUCUCUAAAAUGGAGUCAGAAUUUAAAAGCAUCUCAUGAUAACCACAAACACAAUACACUAGAAGAAAGCAGGCACUUAGCAAGAUAGAACGAAAGUUCUCACCCAAGAUUGUCGUCUACAGCUAAAAUGUUCAAGAUUGAUAUUGCCUAAGAGGUGCAACAUUUUAUGGGAUGGGAAUGGAUGACCUGAGAGAGAGUAGAAAUGGAAAAAUAACUUUUAUCAUCAACAUGGGAAAGUACAUUUUACAUUUCUUCACACUGAUCAAGGGUUUAGGCAUAGAGUAUAGGAAACUGGCAGGUCAAGUGGGUUGACUAUUAUUUUGUUACUGUUAAGCAAUAGAUGUCAUCUACUUGGGUCUUGAAGGAAGAAAGCUGGUAUUGGGUCAAGAAACUGAGAUUUUAUGAGCUCUGAAGCCCAACAUUUUCUUCUUAAGUAACAUAC